CUAAUACAUGGAAGAAAGACGAGGGUCCUUGUCGUAAGAUGAGGAAUUCCGAGUGUCGCACGGGUGAGUAACACAUAGACGACCUGCCCCGGAGAGGGGGAUAACGGCUCGAAAGGGCUGCUAAUACCCCAUAAGCCCACGGGAGUUAGAGGUCACGUGAGCAAAGGGCGGAAGUUGCUCCGGGAGGGGUCUGCGGACCAUCAGGUAGUUGGUGGGGUAACGGCCCACCAAGCCGAAGACGGAUAGGGGGCCUGAGAGGGUGGUCCUCCACACGGGCACUGAGAGACGGGCCCGACUCCUACGGGAGGCAGCAGUGGG
rnacentral:sRNA from 1 species